UCAAGCUAGAAAGAGCGCAAGGGGAAUGCCUUGGCAUCAGGAGCCGACGAAGGACGUGACAAGCUGCGAUAAGCUGCGGUGAGCUGCACAUAAGCUUUGACCCGCAGAUUUCCGAAUGGGGAAACCCGGCAGAGCAAUACUCUGUCAGCGUGCGUUGAAUCAAAUAGGCGUACGCGGGGAACCGCCUGAACUGAAACAUCUAAGUAGGGCGAGGAAGAGAAAUCAACCGAGAUUCCGCUAGUAGUGGCGAGCGAACGCGGAAGAGGGCAAACCGGAGGAUUUAUCCUCCGGGGUUGUGGACAGUUUUUUAGCAACUGGAACUAGGAGAACGGUAUGGGAAGGCCGGCCAUAGCGGGUGAUAGCCCCGUAUCCGAAAGGGAAGGUUGUGCGACUGGAUCCAGAGUACCGCCGGACACGUGAAACCCGGUGGGAAGCUGGGGGGACCACCCUCCAACCCUAAAUACUACCUGAUGACCGAUAGAGGAGCAGUACCGUGAGGGAAAGGUGAAAAGGACCCCGGGAGGGGAGUGAAAGAGAACCUGAAACCUUGUGCUUACAAGCACUCAAAGCCCGUUAAAGGGUGAUGAGGUACCUUUUGUAGAAUGGUCCGGCGAGUUAUUGUUACUGGCAAGCUUAAGGCAUUCAGUGCCGGAGGCGCAGGGAGACCGAGUCUGAAUAGGGCGUAUGAAGUCAGUGGCAAUAGACCCGAAACCGGGUGACCUAUCCAUGGGCAGGUUGAAGUGGGGGUAAAACCCCAUGGAGGACCGAACGCACGCCCGUUGCAAUGGUCGGCGAUGACCUGUGGAUAGCGGUGAAAUUCCAAUCGAACUCGGAGAUAGCUGGUUCUCCCCGAAAUAGCUUUAGGGCUAGCGUUGGCUUAGAUUACCGGAGGUAAAGCACUGAAUGGGCUAGGGGCCGAUAAGGUUACUGAACCCUAUCAAACUCUGAAUGCCGGAUAAUUGAUGGCCAGCAGUCAGUCUACGUGAGAUAAGUCUCGUGGACAAAAGGGAAACAGCCCAGACCCACAGCUAAGGUCCCAAAGAUACGCUAAGUGGAAAACGAUGUGGAGUUGCGAAAACAACCAGGAUGUUGGCUUAGAAGCAGCCACUCAUUAAAAGAGUGCGUAAUAGCUCACUGGUCGAGUGACUCUGCGCGGAAAAUAUAACGGGGCUAAGCGUAACACCGAAGCUUGGGCUGCACAGCAAUGUGCGGGGUAGGGGAGCGUCGAAUAUGGGGUGAAGUCGCAGCGGAAGCAGCGGUGGACUGUAUUCGAGUGAGAAUGCCGGAAUGAGUAGCGAGAAUUAUGUGGGAAUCAUAAUGGCCGAAAAUCUAAGGUUUCCUGGGGAAGGUUCGUCCGCCCAGGGUAAGCCGGGAGCUAAGGCGAGGCCGAAAGGCGUAGUCGAUGCACAUACGGUUGAAAUUCCGUAGCCACCGAACCUUAAGUACACUGACACAUAGAGAUAGCGGGACCCGGGCGUUGGUUGACCCGGGCGUAAGGGACCGAACUUUAGUAGGGAAGUCCGCGAUGCUCUGUGGCGAGAAAAGGUGUAUGGUAUGCUAAGGUGCCCGUACCGCAAACCGACACAGGUAGAUGAGGAGAGAAUCCUAAGGCCAACGGGAGAAGGGUUGUUAAGGAACUCGGCAAAAUGACCCCGUAACUUCGGGAUAAGGGGAGCCUCCUACGGGAGGCCGCAGCGAAUAGGCCCAAGCGACUGUUUACCAAAAACACAGGUCUCUGCUAAAUCGAAAGAUGACGUAUAGGGGCUGACGCCUGCCCGGUGCUGGAAGGUUAAGAGGAGAUGUUAGCCGCAAGGCGAAGCAUUGAAUCGAAGCCCCAGUAAACGGCGGCCGUAACUAUAACGGUCCUAAGGUAGCGAAAUUCCUUGUCAGGUAAGUUCUGACCCGCA
rnacentral:rRNA from 1 species